CCUACGGGUGGCAGCAGUGAGGAAUAUUGGUCAAUGGACGAGAGUCUGAACCAGCCAAGUAGCGUGAAGGAUGACUGCCCUAUGGGUUGUAAACUUCUUUUAUAUGGGAAUAAAACGUUCCACGUGUGGGAUUUUGUAUGUACCAUAUGAAUAAGGAUCGGCUAACUCCGUGCCAGCAGCCGCGGUAAUACGGAGGAUCCGAGCGUUAUCCGGAUUUAUUGGGUUUAAAGGGAGCGUAGGUGGAUUGUUAAGUCAGUUGUGAAAGUUUGCGGCUCAACCGUAAAAGUGCAGUUGAAACUGGCAGUCUUGAGUACAGUAGAGGUGGGCGGAAUUCGUGGUGUAGCGGUGAAAUGCUUAGAUAUCACGAAGAACUCCGAUUGCGAAGGCAGUUCACUGGACUGCAACUGACACUGAGGCUCGAAAGUGUGGGUAUCAAACAGGAUUAGAUACCCCAGUAGUC
rnacentral:rRNA from 1 species